rnacentral:rRNA from 1 species
UACGUAGGGAGCGAGCGUUGUCCGGAUUUAUUGGGCGUAAAGAGCUCGUAGGCGGCUUGGCAAGUCGGAUGUGAAAACUCCAGGCUCAACCUGGAGACGCCAUCCGAUACUGCUAUGGCUAGAGUCCGGUAGGGGACCACGGAAUACCUGGUGUAGCGGUGAAAUGCGCAGAUAUCAGGUGGAACACCGGUGGCGAAGGCGGUGGUCUGGGCCGGAACUGACGCUGGAGGAGCGAAAGCGUGGGGAGCGAACAGGAUUAGAACCUACGUAGUCAGUCCAAGACCAUCUGUCACC